CUCAACGACCGUACCACGUAGGAACUAUUGGUUCUCGUUCGAUCAGCAAAGUCAAGCUGCGUCGGGCACGGUUAAUAUUUGGAUGGCUACCGCUUGGGAACACCGUGUUGUUGGUAUUU
rnacentral:rRNA from 1 species